rnacentral:misc_RNA from 1 species
UAGCCCCUCCUUGCACAGUUUUUGCAGUCAUUCAAAAGAUCGAUAAGGUUAUAUUAUUUCGAAUUUCAUCUCAGCUUUUCCUACUAUAAAUGAAAAUAGUUCUCUGAUGGAAGAUUGAAGCCUGGACAAGAAGGUACACAAUCCAAACAGGGAAACAAAACGUAGAUAAUUAUCUUGGAGAUGGAUGAGAUCACUGAAGAAGUCGCACUGUGAUUUGGUUAUUAAGACAGAAACCUCUGUUCUUCGUAAUAAAUGCAUGUGUUGCCUUAGCCUGUGAGGGGAACUCCACAAAGACUGUUCUAGUUGGUGGUCUAUCAGCAGCUCGUUGUGGUCUACCGAACAUUUGAAUUGCUGAUGCAUCAUACUGGCAACCAGCAAGGAAACGUUCCACAUCUUCGGCUACUGCAUUUCGAGGGACCCCUUGCAAUAAAAUAGUCUUUCCAUCGUAGCGUGGCAAAGAGUCCCACUGCUGACGACCAACCCUCUCCAUUCUGAAUAAGCCACCCUUCCGACUUCCUUCCCUAAGUGUAGCCUCAUAAGAAUUUCGAGAAGGGAACUGAAUCAUCACUGAAACUGGAGCAUAGUUCAUGUUGUACUCAAAUCUAACGUCGUCUGGGCUCAAUCUAGAACUCCCUAACAUGUUAAUAAUGUCACUCUUCCUUGUAUGCUUUCCAGUGACAAAAAGUCUCCCAUAAACCAAACCGGAAGACGGAUUUCGAAGGAAUGAAUCAGAUGAAUUGUCCUUCUGGGGUGUUUCCAUUUGGGUCGAAAACUGUCUGCAGAGAGGCAAUGUCAGCCCUUGAUUUUGAAUACUCGUUUGAAUCGAACGGUUCGAUUUAGCCACAACACGCAUUAAACCCAUCAUCUUGGGAACAACUUCGAAGCUAAAUGUUGAGAGUACAGUGAAG